ACGGGUGAGUAACGCGUAUGCAAUCUACCCUGUACUGGGGCAUAGCCCGAAGAAAUUCGGAUUAACACCCCAUAGUACUAUUUUUUCGCAUGAUUAAAUAGUUAAAGGUUACGGUACAGGAUGAGCAUGCGUCCCAUUAGCUAGAUGGUAAGGUAACGGCUUACCAUGGCUACGAUGGGUAGGGGGCCUGAGAGGGUGGUCCCCCACACUGGUACUGAGACACGGACCAGACUCC
rnacentral:rRNA from 1 species